rnacentral:rRNA from 1 species
AAUGAACGCUGGCGGCGUGCCUAACACAUGCAAGUCGUACGAGAAAUCCCGAGCUUGCUUGGGAGAGUAAAGUGGCGCACGGGUGAGUAACGCGUGGGUAACCCACCUUCGAAUCUGGGAUAACUCCGCGAAAGCGGUGCUAAUACCGGAUAAGACCACAGCCGUUUCGGCGGCAGAGGUAAAAGCUGACCUCUCCAUGGAAGUUAGCGUUCGAGGACGGGCCCGCGUCCUAUCAGCUUGUUGGUGGGGUAAUGGCCUACCAAGGCAGCGACGGGUAGCUGGUCUGAGAGGAUGAUCAGCCACACUGGAACUGGAACACGGUCCAGACUCCUACGGGAGGCAGCAGUGAGGAAUUUUGCGCAAUGGGGGAAACCCUGACGCAGCAACGCCGCGUGGGUGAAGAAGGCUUUCGGGUCGUAAAGCCCUGUCAGGUGGGAAGAACCGUUUCGAUACUAAUAAUGUCGAAGCCUGACGGUACCACCAGAGGAAGCACCGGCCAACUCCGUG